UACAGAGGUCUCAAGCGUUGUUCGGAUUCAUUGGGCGUAAAGGGUGCGUAGGCGGCGCGGUAAGUCGGGUGUGAAAUCUUGGAGCUUAACUCCGAAACUGCAUUCGAUACUGCCGUGCUUGAGGACUGGAGAGGAGACUGGAAUUCCUGGUGUAGCGGUGAAAUGCGCAGAUAUCAGGAGGAACACCGAUGGCGAAGGCAGGUCUCUGGACAGUUCCUGACGCUGAGGCACGAAGGCCAGGGGAGCAAACGGG
rnacentral:rRNA from 1 species